rnacentral:misc_RNA from 1 species
CAACCAUCAAGCCCCCGGCUUGUGUUGGGGACCUGCGGCUGCCGCAGGCCCUGAAAACCAGUGGCGGGCUCGCUAGUCACUCCGAGCGUAGUAAUACAUCUCGCUCAGGGCGUGCUGCGGGUUCCGGCCGUUAAAAAGCCUUAUUUACCCAAGG